GAGAUGACCCAAGGAGGACCAGCCGGUACCUGCUAGGCCCUUCUGCUGGGGCACGGGGUCAGGGGGCAGCACAUGGGCAUGUGGCCCCACUCCUGUCUGCUCCCCAGGACAACUCUAUUUUCCAGCAUGGAGUGCCCCUGGAGAUGGCGACAGCUCCUCUAAUAAGAGAGUUACUCAUGGCUUCACUGGAGAGAAGAGAGCAGCUUUCAACCCCCCUCUCCUAAACGCAACGAUAUUUGGUAACACUCGGCAUCUUGGGGAGAGCAUUCAUGUCUGUAAUUAGUUACUGUAUAUCACGGUGCCAGGACUACAGACAGGGCAAGGGAGAGCAGGGGCUUGCUGGAGAAAUCCAUCCUUCCCUGGGAUCUCUUGGAGGGCUCUCCAUCUCUCUUAGAGCAGUUUCUUUCUUAGACAGUUGAAGCUGCCUCAGUGGUCUCCCCAGAUCAUGCAGGUCGGGGCAGAAGCUUCUCACUCAGAGAACUGAGAAUAUCAUUUUUCACAGAAGUCUAAGGUGGAACUUAGACCAAGAUAUUCUUGGCCUUAGCAGUUUGACUUGGGCGGGGGUUUGGAAGCUGGAACUUUUCAAC
rnacentral:antisense_RNA from 1 species